ensembl:lncRNA
GUAGGACCCUUCAGAGCGUCUCGGUCCGAACUAUAUAUAGACCCGGAACUAGAACUAUAGUGGUACUGAAGCAGUGCUUAGUUUCGCUGUCUUUACUGUUGAUAUGAAACUGCGUUUGUGUACAAUCUCAAACUCGAACAACUCAUCCACAGGAUGAUUAAUCAUUCACUUGUUCCGAUAUUUAAACUGAAUUUUCAGAAACCAGUUUGCGUUUUGUUUCGACUGCGUUUCAUUUUGGGUCCGAGCUGAGAAAACGAAAGUUAGUCUGAGACUAAACCGGAUGACGAUGUUGGGUUUCUGAAUCUGUUCUUAAAGUCAACAGAUGUGUUGGUUUAUCAGAACCACUUUCAUACUGUUCGACCCUACUCACUUUAAUUCUUUAUCAAUUCAUAUCAUCAUAUCAACCUAGCUAUCAACACAGAUAGCUAGGUUAACCCAUUCCCCCUAUACCACACAGAUAGCUUGGUUAACCCAUUCCCCCUGUACAACACAGAUAGCUAGGUUAACCCAUUCCCCCUAUACAACACAGAUAGCUAGGUUAACCCAUUCCCCCUAUACCACACAGAUAGCUAGGUUAACCCAUUCCCCCUAUACAACACAGACAGCUAGGUUAACCCAUUCCCUGUAUACCACACAGAUAGCUAGGUUAACCCAUUCCCCCUAUAUAACACAGAUAGCUAGGUUAACCCAUUCCCCUUUACAACACAGAUAGCUAGGUUAACCCAUUCCCCCUAUAUAACACAGAUAGCUAGGUUAACCCAUUCCCCCUUUACAACACAGAUAGCUAGGUUAACCCAUUCCCCCUAUACAACACAGAUAGCUAGGUUAACCCAUUCCCCCUAUACAACACAGAUAGCUAGGUUAACCCAUUCCCCCUAUACAACACAGAUAGCUAGGUUAACCCAUUCCCCCUAUACAACACAGAUAGCUAGGUUAACCCAUUCCCCCUAUACAACACAGAUAGCUAGGUUAACCCAUUCCUAGUUGAGUGGAGGAUUCAAAUGAAGCUUAGACAAAGCGUUUCACUGUAACCUGGAGAGAUGUCAAUACAGUUAAAAGAAAUCCUCCAUAAAUGUUCUGUAGACAGGGGGCGGAG